UACGGGGGGGGCAAGCGUUGUUCGGAAUUACUGGGCGUAAAGGGCUCGUAGGUGGCCAACUAAGUCGGACGUGAAAUCCCUCGGCUUAACCGGGGAACUGCGUCUGAUACUGGAUGGCUUGAGUUCGGGAGAGGGAUGCGGAAUUCCAGGUGUAGCGGUGAAAUGCGUAGAUAUCUGGAGGAACACCGGUGGCGAAGGCGGCCAGCUAGACCAGUUCUGACACUGAGGCGCGACAGCGUGGGGAGCAAACAGG
rnacentral:rRNA from 1 species